rnacentral:rRNA from 1 species
AACGAACGCUGGCGGCAGGCUUAACACAUGCAAGUCGAACGCCCCGCAAGGGGAGUGGCAGACGGGUGAGUAACACGUGGGAACGUGCCCUAAGGUUUGGAAUAUUCCCGGGAAACUGGGAGCAAUACCAAAUGUGUCCGCAAGGAGAAAGAUUUAUCGCCUUAGGAUCGGCCCGCGUCAGAUUAGCUAGUUGGUGGGGUAAAAGCCUACCAAGGCGACGAUCUGUAGCUGGUCUGAGAGGACGACCAGCCACACUGGGACUGAGACACGGCCCAGACUCCUACGGGAGGCAGCAGUGGGGAAUCUUGGACAAUGGGCGCAAGCCUGAUCCAGCCAUGCCGCGUGGAUGAUGAAGGCCCUAGGGUUGUAAAAUCCUUUCGUUGGGGACGAUAAUGACGGUACCCAAAGAAGAAGCUCCGGCUAACUUCGUGCCAGCCGCCGCGGUAA